rnacentral:rRNA from 1 species
AACUUUCAACAAAGGAUCUCUUGGCUCUCGCAUCGAUGAAGAACGCAGCGAAGCGCGAAAUGUAGUGUGAAUCGCAGAACAUUGUGAAUCAUCGAAUCUUUGAGCGCACAUUGCGCCUCUCUUAACAGGGAGGCAUGCCUGUCUGAGUCUCAUUU